UACGUAGGGUGCGAGCGUUGUCCGGAAUUAUUGGGCGUAAAGGGAGUGUAGGCGGCUAGGAAAGUCUUCUGUGAAAUCUACGGGCUCAGCCUGUAACGUGCAGAGGAAACUAUCUGGCUAGAGUGUCGGAGAGGAUAGGGGAAUACCCGGUGUAGAGGUGAAAUUCGUAGAGAUCGGGUGGAACACCAGUGGCGAAGGCGCCUGUCUGGCUGACAACUGACGCUGAGACUCGAAAGCAUGGGGAGCAAACAGG
rnacentral:rRNA from 1 species